rnacentral:rRNA from 1 species
AGAGUUUGAUCAUGGCUCAGCCUGAACGCUGGCGGCGUGGCUAAGACAUGCAAGUCGAACGGGUGUAGCAAUACACCAGUGGCGGACGGGUGAGUAAUGUAUCGCUAACGUACCCUUCAGUCUGGGAUAGCUGCCCGAAAGGGCAGGUAAUACCACACAAGACCACGGAGAGGCAUCUCUCAGUGCUCAAAGCAGCAAUGCGCUGAAGGAGCGGGCGAUAUCGUAUCAGCUUGUUGGUGAGGUAACGGCUCACCAAGGCGACGACGCGUAGCUGGUCUGAGAGGACGGCCAGCCACAUCGGGACUGAGACACUGCCCGGACUCCUACGGGGGGCUGCAGUAACGAAUCUUCCGCAAUGCACGAAAGUGUGACGGAGCGACGCCGCGUGCAGGAUGAAGUCCUUCGGGAUGUAAACUGCUGUCAGGGGAAAGAAAGUUCUGAUCUACCCCAGAGGAAGAGGCGGCUAACUCUGUGCCAGCAGCCGCGGUAAUACAGAGGCCUCGAGCGUUAGGCGGAAUCACUGGGCUUAAAGCGUGUGUAGGCGGAGUUCUAAGUACCUUGUGAAAUCCCACGGCUCAACCGUGGAACUGCUUGGUAUACUGGUUCUCUUGAGCCAUCUAGGGGCGAGCGGAACAAGUGGUGGAGCGGUGAAAUGCGUAGAUAUCACUUGGAACGCCAACGGUGAAAACAGCUCGCUGGGGAUGUGCUGACGCUGAGACACGAAAGCCAGGGGAGCAAACGGGAUUAGAUACCCCGGUAGUCCUGGCCCUAAACGAUGUCCACUAGAUCGUAGUUGCUCUGACGUAAUUAUGGUCGAAGCAAAAGUGCUAAGUGGACCGCCUGGGAAGUACGGUCGCAAGGCUAAACUCAAAGGAAUUGACGGGGCUCACACAAGCGGUGAGCAUGUGGUUUAAUUCGAAGCACGCGCAGAACCUUACCUG